rnacentral:rRNA from 1 species
CGGGGUGCAGCAGGCGCGAAAACUUUACAAUGCGGGAAACCGUGAUAAGGGGACACCGAGUGCCAGCAUCAUAUGCUGGCUGUCCAGAUGUGUAAAAUACAUCUGUUAGCAAGGGCCGGGCAAGACCGGUGCCAGCCGCCGCGGUAACACCGGCGGCCCGAGUGGUGAUCGUGAUUAUUGGGUCUAAAGGGUCCGUAGCCGGUUUGGUCAGUCCUCCGGGAAAUCUGAUAGCUCAACUAUUAGGCUUUCGGGGGAUACUGCCAGACUUGGAACCGGGAGAGGUAAGAGGUACUACAGGGGUAGGAGUGAAAUCUUGUAAUCCCUGUGGGACCACCUGUGGCGAAGGCGUCUUACCAGAACGGGUUCGACGGUGAGGGACGAAAGCUGGGGGCACGAACCGGAUUAGAUACCCGGGUAGUCCCAGCCGUAAACGAUGCUCGCUAGGUGUCAGACAUGGCGCGACCGUGUCUGGUGCCGCAGGGAAGCCGUGAAGCGAGCCACCUGGGAAGUACGGCCGCAAGGCUGAAACUUAAAGGAAUUGGCGGGGGAGCAC